CCUACGGGAGGCAGCAGCUAAGAAUAUUCCGCAAUGGACGAAAGUCUGACGGAGCGACGCCGCGUGGAUGAUGAAGGCCGAAAGGUUGUAAAAUCCUUUUGUCGGGGAAGAAUAAUCAUGGGAGGGAAUGCCCGUGAGAUGACGUUAACCGGCGAAUAAGCCCCGGCUAACUACGUGCCAGCAGCCGCGGUAACACGUAGGGGGCAAGCGUUGUUCGGAAUUACUGGGCGUAAAGGGCAUGUAGGCGGUUUUAUAAGCCUGACGUGAAAGGCUAUGGCUUAACCAUGGCACUGCGUUGGGAACUGUGAGACUUGAAUCACGGAGGGGGAGCUAGAAUUCCAGGUGUAGGGGUGAAAUCUGUAGAUAUCUGGAAGAACACCAGUGGCGAAGGCGAGCUCCUGGCCGAUGAUUGACGCUGAGGUGCGAAAGUGUGGGGAUCAAACAGGAUUAGAGACCCUGGUAGUCCACACUGUCAACGAUGUGCACUAGGUGCUGGGGCGGACGCUUCAGUGCCGGAGCUAACGCGGUAAGUGCACCGCCUGGGGAGUAUGCUCGCAAGGGUGAAACUCAAAUGAAUUGACGG
rnacentral:rRNA from 1 species